rnacentral:lncRNA from 1 species
CUCAGACACAGUCUCAGAAUACCAUUGGUGCUCAUGAGCUCCUGUGGACAUAAUAUUUAACUUACUGACCCAUUUCAGUCACCUCAAGACAAGUCCAAUAUUAUGAGGAGCUGUGAUCAUUGCUCAGCAUACAAGAAAGAGUCACUUCUGUCCAGCAUCAGCCACGAGAUUGCAGUAGCUCCACGGAAGGCUUGCAGUCUGCCCACUAAUGGUUUGCAAACUGAAACGCCCCAGGAAAGCCUGGCCA